GAGUUUGAUUAUGGCUCAGGAUGAACGCUGGCGGCAUGCCUAAUACAUGCAAGUCGAACGAGGGUCCUUCGGGACUCGAGUGGCGAACGGGUGAGUAACACGUAGGGAACCUGCCCGUGCGACCGGGAGAACUUUCGGAAACGGAAGCUGAUACCGGAUAGGGACAGAGACGGCAUCGACUCUGAGUUAAAGGAGCUGAAAGGCUCCGCGCACGGAUGGACCUGCGGUGCAUUAGCUAGUUGGUGAGGUAACGACCCACCAAGGCGACGAUGCAUAGCCGGCCUGAGAGGGCGGACGGCCACACUGGGACUGAGACACGGCCCAGACUCCCACGGGAGGCAGCAGUAGGGAAUUUUCGUCAAUGGGCGCAAGCCUGAACGAGCAAUGCCGCGUGAACGAGGAAGGUCUUCGGAUCGUAAAGUUCUGUUGAAGGGGAAAAAGAGCGGAGAGAGGAAAUGGUCUCCGAUUGAUAUUACCCUUCGAGGAAGUCACGGCUAACUACGUGCCAGCAGCCGCGGUAAUACGUAGGUGGCGAGCGUUAUCCGGAAUGAUUGGGCGUAAAGGGUGCGUAGGCGGCCUGCUAAGUCUGGAGUGAAAGGUACCGGCUCAACCGGUACAGGCUCUGGAAACUGGCGGGCUAGAGAGCAGGAGAGGGCGGUGGAACUCCAUGUGUAGCGGUAAAAUGCGUAGAUAUAUGGAAGAACACCAGUGGCGAAGGCGGCCGCCUGGCCUGUUACUGACGCUGAGGCACGAAAGCGUGGGGAGCAAAUAGGAUUAGAUACCCUAGUAGUCCACGCCGUAAACGAUGAGGACCAAGUGUUGGGGAAGACCCAGUGCUGCAGUUAACGCAGUGAGUCCUCCGCCUGGGGAGUAUGCACGCAAGUGUGAAACUCAAAGGAAUUGACGGGGGCCCGCACAAGCGGUGGAGUAUGUGGUUUAAUUCGAAGCAACGCGAAGAACCUUACCAGGCCUUGACAUAGGGUGCGAAGCUGUGGAGACAUAGUGGAGGUAAACAUCCAUACAGGUGGUGCAUGGUUGUCGUCAGCUCGUGUCGUGAGAUGUUCAGUUAAGUCUGGCAACGAGCGCAACCCUCGUGAUGUGUUACCAAUAUCGAGUUAGGGACUCACAUCAGACUGCCGGUGAGAAACCGGAGGAAGGCGGGGAUGACGUCAAAUCAUCAUGCCCCUUAUGGCCUGGGCUACACACGUACUACAAUGGCGGCGACAGAGGGCAGCGAGCCUGCGAAGGCAAGCGAAUCCCAAAAAAGCCGUCCCAGUUCGGAUUGGAGUCUGCAACCCGACUCCAUGAAGUUGGAAUCGCUAGUAAUCGCGGAUCAGCAUGCCGCGGUGAAUACGUUCUCGGGCCUUGUACACACCGCCCGUCAAACCAUGGGAGUGGGCAAUGCCCGAAGCCGGUGGCGCAACCCUUAAAAGGGAGCGAGCCGUCGAAGGCAGGGCCGAUGACUGGGGUUAAGUCGUAACAAGGU
rnacentral:rRNA from 1 species